UUAGGUUAUGGUGAUAUGGUUCCAGGAACAGUAAUGGGUAAAAUAGUUGGUGGAAUAUGUUCACUUUCUGGUGUAUUGGUAAUUGCUUUACCAGUUCCUGUUAUAGUAUCAAAU
rfam:Strongyloides ratti strain ED321 Heterogonic genome assembly, chromosome: 1